rnacentral:sRNA from 1 species
AUUCAGUGAACGAGCUUCAUGGCGCCAACUUGGAAGAGGGAAACCAACAUCAAGAAAACUGUCAAUGGAAGAAUCAGCCGAAUGAACCGAAAUACAAACCCGUUAAAGAGCGAUCUGAAUCAAGUUAUUUGUGUCAUUAGUUUCUGUGGACAUUAGAUUCGAAAUCUCUUCAUCAACAUGAAUCCAACACAAGAGGGGCAGUUUGAUAGUGGCUACUUUUCACCAUCCCACAUCCAAAUCAAAGUGGAGCCCUUGAGUCCAACUCAACUGCCCAUGUUGAAUCCGGAUCUUGGUGCCAGCCCCCUCAAAACAGAUGUCCCUGACAUGGAUGUUGGAAGACCUCUAGAGGAUGUCAGCAUAUCAGGAGAUUGGGAAAAAGACUUCUUUACAAAUUUUGAGGAGAACUUAUUCAACUUUGACUUUGAUGAUAAAGCACUGAAUGAUAUUCUUGUGUCCCCUAAAGGAAAGGAGGCUUUGAAUGACUUGAUGAAAUCUCCAAAGGGGAAGGCUAUUUUGAAUUCCCCUAAAGGAAAACUGUUGAAGAAUAAAUUGAAAUCAUUGGAUACACCUGAACAUGUGAAAUUUCGGCGUACAAACAGUUCUGGGUUUGAUACUAGUCCAAAUGUGUUGUCGCCUUGUGACCCAAAUAAGAUGUCUGCUACACCAGGACCAUACAAUGUGGAUUCCAGGAGUGCACUGAAAAUGUCAAGAAGAAAACUUACCAUGGUCCUCAGUGGUAAAGAGGAUCAAGAACCUGCUAGAAAAGUGAUUAAAAUGGUUCAACCAAAUAAAGUGAUACCCAUCGCACAACCAAAUAAAGUGAUACCCAUCGCACCCAAGAUUCCAGAAGAAACCAGCGAUACUUGGCCCACUAAAGAAAGGCUGAAAUAUGCAAGGGAUAAGUUCAAGCGGACCCUCGAGUUGGCUGUAGAGACCUCACGGUUGAAGAGUUUGGUGAAGGAGGAACCAAAGGUGCACCCUCAAUCUCCAAGAAGGAAACGCAAGAAGAAUUCCCAAAAAGCAGAGUGUUACCCUGAGCUAAAACAAGCUCUGAAUCAACGGCCGCAGAAAAGUAGUUCCAGGAAUCGAAUGCCCAGCAUAAAACUGAGAGAAAGCAAAGAAUCAGAGGUGGAAAUCAAAAAGGAGUUGUCUGCCCCUGCAUCACCAUUUUACCCCGACUACAUUGAGGACAUUGAGUAUAAUGACGAGGAUGAUGAUGAGGACUAUGAUAAAUUCUACAAAAACUAUGUUCCCUUUACUGGAUUAAAGCAAGCCAAGAGGAGAAAGAAGUUUAAACAGAGUGUGUAUUGAAAACUAAUGAAGCCUUAAUUCAUGUGAUAUUGUCAAAAAUACAUUUUGUGAAUUUAAACAGAAACAUUAAUGGCAGAAUGUUUUAUUAUUUUAUUUUCAGAGGAAGCUCCUCAUACAAUUCAGCUUUUCUUGAAUCUAGAUGCAAUGCUACUGUUAUAUUUUUUUUUAGAGAUAUGUUUGUGUUCAGUGGAAAAGUCAAUGUCAUUUGAACGUAUGCAAUAGGUUGUACAUAUUAAAGACCAUUGAAUAGAGAUGAAAGCUCUUCAAAUAAGGAGGCAUAUGCAAACAUCUAAUUAGACUAUUUAAAAAUGUAAUUUUAUUGAAUAUUCCAAUAGCCCUAAAAUGUACAUGCAUGUAUGUACUCAAUAAUCAUUGUCAUUUGAUGUAAAUAUAGUGCAAGCGUAUGAGAUGAAGAAGAACAAUGCAGAUGGCAUUUGAUGUGGUGUUUAUGAAAUAUAUGCUAUUUCUUCUGUACUGUAUGAAUACAAUGUAAAGAUAAUAAGAUAUAACAUAACUUGUAGUGAUUUCAGUAAUUCAAACUUACAUGUUGUAGAACACUUUCAAUCAGUAACAUUACCCGGUAUAUAUAUUCAAGUUCGUGUAUUAAUUUUUCAUGUUCUCUGAGCAGUAUUUCAUCUUUCAUUUUAUUUUAAGUAGCCUGCUCUCGUUCUUAUUUGUAAUGCCUUUGCUUUAAAAUUCUGAAAAGUAAGCAGUGAGCAUGUUGUUAAUUUGUACAUGUAUGCAGAUAACAAUUUGGCAACAGUAGCUAAAGCAAAGGAAUAUUCCUUUGGAGUUUGGAGGAUGUUUGAUUUUCAUAUGCUUAGCGUUAGCUUUAAAGUUUGUAUUUGUUUCUUAUUUCUCUCUUUAGUGCUUUGUUUUCAAUAAUUCCAACAGUUUAUUUUGUUGUUUUUCCACAAAGAAGUAUGUUGUUUGUGUGUGUGUCAAUAAUGUCAAAUUGGCAACUACAUGUAAUACAUGGAAGGUAUUUCAAGAGGUUCUCAAUGAAAACAAACAAAACCUACCAUUCAUCUGCUGUCUUUUAAUGGUAAGAAAAAGUUGCAAUAUUUAUUUAUUUAUUAUUUUGUCUUAUUGUUCAGAUAUAAUCAAUUGUAUCAGGGAUUUUGUUGUGUUGUACAAUAUCACUUAGAUGUACAGUUUUGCCUAACCUCAUUGUUUUUCAUAUUAUAUAGCUAUAUUCCUAAAUAGAUUCAAUCUAAUUUUCAUGCAUCUCAAUAUGCAAUAGUAUUUUUAAUUUGGAAUUUCUGAUCAGCGUUAAUUGAUACCUUGGUUGUAGAGUCCUCUUGUAUGGUCUAGUGUUCAUUACAGUUGUAUUAAGAUGACGAGGUAUUAGGAAAUAAUGCUAGAAAUGAACUCAUCAUUUUCAUUAUAUGCUGUGUUACUUGCGAAGCAUGUAGUCCAAUAAAGAAUCAAUAAAUG